rnacentral:rRNA from 1 species
AGAGUUUGAUCCUGGCUCAGGACGAACGCUGGCGGCGUGCUUAACACAUGCAAGUCGAACGGAAAGGCCCUUUCGGGGGUACUCGAGUGGCGAACGGGUGAGUAACACGUGGGUGAUCUGCCCUGCACUUUGGGAUAAGCCUGGGAAACUGGGUCUAAUACCGGAUAUACCUCAUGGACUGCAUGGUUUGCGGGGGAAAGCUUUUGCGGUGUGGGAUGGGCCCGCGGCCUAUCAGCUUGUUGGUGGGGUGAUGGCCUACCAAGGCGACGACGGGUAGCCGGCCUGAGAGGGUGACCGGCCACACUGGGACUGAGAUACGGCCCAGACUCCUACGGGAGGCAGCAGUGGGGAAUAUUGCACAAUGGGCGCAAGCCUGAUGCAGCGACGCCGCGUGAGGGAUGACGGCCUUCGGGUUGUAAACCUCUUUCAGCAGGGACGAAGCGCAAGUGACGGUACCUGUAGAAGAAGGACCGGCCAACUACGUGCCAGCAGCCGCGGUAAUACGUAGGGUCCGAGCGUUGUCCGGAAUUACUGGGCGUAAAGAGCUCGUAGGUGGUUUGUCGCGUUGUUCGUGAAAACUCACAGCUCAACUGUGGGCGUGCGGGCGAUACGGGCAGACUUGAGUACUGCAGGGGAGACUGGAAUUCCUGGUGUAGCGGUGGAAUGCGCAGAUAUCAGGAGGAACACCGGUGGCGAAGGCGGGUCUCUGGGCAGUAACUGACGCUGAGGAGCGAAAGCGUGGGGAGCGAACAGGAUUAGAUACCCUGGUAGUCC